AGCUGCUGAGCGUGUGGCCUCAUAUGGUGCUUCCAUGAUGUCGGAGCAUGGGCAAGACUAUGAUUGGAUGAAUCAGCCUAUCGAUCCUCAGGUUGUGUAUGCUAGUGGAGGCGGAAAACCUCAUGGACGUUACCCCAUGUUUGGUAGUGUUAUCGACUCGACUCAGGUGAGGCCUGAAAGGUCUCGUCCAUCGAGGUCGUCUAG